rnacentral:rRNA from 1 species
UACGUAGGGGGCAAGCGUUGUCCGGAUUUAUUGGGCGUAAAGAGCGUGUAGGCGGCUUUGCAAGUCCGUUGUGAAAACUCGAGGCUCAACCUCGAGAGGUCGGUGGAAACCGUCUGGCUAGAGUCCGGAAGAGGAGAGUGGAAUUCCCGGUGUAGCGGUGAAAUGCGUAGAUAUCUGGAGGAACACCGGUGGCGAAGGCGGCAUCCUGGACCAAUUCUGACGCUGAGGAGCGAAAGCCAGGGGAGCAAACGGG